rnacentral:lncRNA from 1 species
AAAUUUUCAUAGCAACGCGUGGGGUAUUCUUCUAGUUUUUUAAGAUUCCCCAUCACAUCGAAUCUUUAGACGUAUGUAUAGAGUAUUAAAUAUUAACGAAAUUAAAAACUAGUUGUACAACUUAUCGUAUUAAAUAUUAACGAAAUUAAAAACUAGUUGUACAACUUAUCCGUAAUUUGCGGGACGAAUCUUAAAGCCUAGUUAGUUCAUGAUUGAAAACGAAAAUGCUAUGGUGCACCAAAAAAAAUCAUUUAGGAAGUAAAGACGGCCUAAUCUAAUGACACUGAUCAGCGCACAGUCUUCCUUUUUUUAACUCGAAAGGUUGCGACUCGGCCCACUGUAUUCUUGUGUUUGAAAAAAGGAAUAAAAAUAAUGUCACCUCCUGCUUUCGAGUUAACUGAACUGUAUAUAUACCACUGGUGAAGGGCGCGCGCCAUCGCACGCACGAGCAAAACAUGACCAAAGUGUACAUGUUUAAAUGUACAAUAGAAGAAUAAAAUUGAACUGAUGCAUGGAUUUAGUAAUAUCAAGAAUUCAAGACAUAAAAUAAAUAUGGUAUCUUUUACUCAUCCCUAACUAUAUAGUCACAACAAAGUAUUACACUAAAGAAAAUAGAUCUACAUAGAAAAAUCUGCAGAAUUAACUCCCUUUCAUGCACAAUGCUUAGAACAUGUUCAAUAUGGUACACAUGCAUAUCUCACAUUUAUUAAGAUCUAUUUGAACAUGUAUGCCAUAUCUGUCCAGGAUGUUACACUAAACUAAAUCGAGGAGAGUCUUAAUAAAUGUGAGGCUCAGAACAAGGUUUAGAACAUGUUCAAUAUUGAACAUGAUCAUGGAAGUCAUGGUAAUCUCAUCUUCUUCGGUAUCUAUGUACUCUAUCUAUCGUUUUGAGAUCAGUUCAUGCCAACUUUUAUUAGGACUCUCCUCGAUAAGUAGAUAGAAGGAUACAGGCUUAUGAGAAAAAUUAUACGCACGUAAAUAUAAGUGGCAGGUAGCAGAUGUUGAUCAAUGCCAGACCCUUAAUGGGGAGGUUUAGGCCCUCAAUGGAUGACUACAAUGUUCAUAAUCCUUAUAGAGUCGAUGUUCUUUAAGGCCAAUAUGACAAACCACACAAACCUAAAUGUUGACAUUAAUCUGAAUUAGCAUGAAGACCAAGCAAACACUACUACGCAAAAUAUUUACCGAGACGGGCAAAAUUGAUUAACCAAGGUGGUUAGCACAACCGCCUCGAACAAAAGGUCACAGUAAAUAGGACCUUUUCUGAGGUGGUUGUUUGCCUGCCUCGGUUAAUCGCGUAGAAAAAAAAUUAAAAAAGAAAACAAAGGGAUAAGCCCGCUAAGCCCAUCAAUGGUCCCACGGAGCCCAUCCAUGGACCGCCGCUGCCAUUGCUAGCUGGAGGAGCGCUGCCGGCCUCACCCGUCGUAUCCGGCCACCAGCGGCAUGGAUCCGGCCGCCAACGGCAUCGAUCCGGCCACCAUGUACGUAGUCGGAGGAGGAGAUGGGGGAGUAGGGCGCGCAUUGCCAGUGGAGGAGCGCCGGGGAAGGAAGGAGCCCGCUGGGGAGACGUCCGCGCCUGCACUGCCACCGGCCGGAUCACGCCCGCGCCUGCGCUGCUCGCUGUGCCCGCCUCGCCUCGCUCGCAAAUCGCGCC